rnacentral:lncRNA from 1 species
AGCUCCGGACUGUAAGAAUGUAUAACCUUAAGCUUAAGCUAGGCAAAUCUCCUGAGAUUACUUUGUGAUUUCCUAAGUUCCUAUUAAUAGACGUCCAUAAAAGGUAGCUGGAGAGAGAGCUUCAUGAUUGUUGGAUGCUUUUGAGGUCUAUCCCGAUGGGGCUUCGUUAGUAGCCACACAUCGUUGGAAACGCCUCAUAUAGUAACUUGUGGUUUUGCUUGACUCGCAGGACUGUUUGUUAGGUCUGUGGGAAGGAACUACAAGACAGCUAACAAAGUACAAAACUGAUGUGCAAUUUUGGUUUUGUUUCUAGAAGCACUGGCAUUUCCUUCAUAAAGAUUAGGAUUCUGAGUGUUAGGAAUGGACAUGAAAGACUCUACAGAGAUGUUGGGCGUCACAAGGGAAACCUACCUUAAAAUGGUUUUUAAAGCUAAUUGAAGAAGGGUCCCUAAAUUAAAGUAAAUUGAAGAAAUCCACAAAUCUUCUGGCUAAGAACUUAGAAGUUGCCAAUGACUGUUGGAAAAGACAGAUAAAAGAGGGCUAAAAAUAAAAAGCACAACUGGAUGCCCUUGAGGAAAGGGCUAUUUUCAGAGUGCCUGGAUGGACAGCAAAGAAAUCAAACCAACCACUUAAAUAAAAAUUUAUUGACAAUAAAUAAUUUUAUACAUUAAAAAAGAACCCUUAACAC